rnacentral:rRNA from 1 species
ACAUGCCUACAACAUAGUGUUAAUGCACCAUAUCCCACUAGAACUCUGCGGUUAAGCAUGGCCAGGAUAGAGUAGUACUGGGAUGGGUGAUCGCCCAGGAAGUCCUAGUAUUUUACAUGCC